CUACGGAGGGUGCAAGCGUUAAUCGGAAUUACUGGGCGUAAAGCGUACGUAGGCGGUCCGUUAAGUUAGAUGUGAAAGCCCCGGGGUUAACCUGGGAACUGCAUUUAAAACUGGCGGACUAGAGUUGAGUAGAGGGGAGUGGAAUUUCAGGUGUAGCGGUGAAAUGCGUAGAGAUCUGAAGGAACACCAGUGGCGAAGGCGACUCCCUGGACUCGAACUGACGCUGAGGUACGAAAGCGUGGGUAGCAAACGGGAUUAGAAACCCCAGUAGUCC
rnacentral:rRNA from 1 species